rnacentral:rRNA from 1 species
UACGUAGGGUGCAAGCGUUAAUCGGAAUUACUGGGCGUAAAGGCGUGCGCAGGCGGUUUGUAAGUCAGAUGUGAAAUCCCCGGGCUUAACCUGGGAACUGCGUUUGAAACUACAAGGCUAGAGUGUGGCAGAGGGGGUGGAAUUCCGACGUGAGCAGGUGGAAAUGCGGUAGAGAUGAUGGAGGAACACCAGUGGCGAAGGCGGCUGCUC